AUUGAACGCUGGCGGCAGGCUUAACACAUGCAAGUCGAGCGGAGCGAGGGUGCUUGCACCUUAGCUUAGCGGCGGACGGGUGAGUAAUGCUUAGGAAUCUGCCUAUUAGUGGGGGACAACAUUCCGAAAGGAAUGCUAAUACCGCAUACGCCCUACGGGGGAAAGCAGGGGAUCUUCGGACCUUGCGCUAAUAGAUGAGCCUAAGUCGGAUUAGCUAGUUGGUGGGGUAAAGGCCUACCAAGGCGACGAUCUGUAGCGGGUCUGAGAGGAUGAUCCGCCACACUGGGACUGAGACACGGCCCAGACUCCUACGGGAGGCAGCAGUGGGGAAUAUUGGACAAUGGGCGGAAGCCUGAUCCAGCCAUGCCGCGUGUGUGAAGAAGGCCUUUUGGUUGUAAAGCACUUUAAGCGAGGAGGAGGCUACUUAGAUUAAUACUCUGGGAUAGUGGACGUUACUCGCAGAAUAAGCACCGGCUAACUCUGUGCCAGCCGCCGCCGUAAAAC
rnacentral:rRNA from 1 species